ACUGCAGUAAAGUGGAACAAAUAAAACUAAUGGGGGCAAGUGCUGAGUUGGUAAGGUUGUGCUCUGAUUAAUUGCAAUUGUCAUUUGUUUCAUUGCUUUAGGAUUUCACAGAAAAGUUAUGCAGAUGCUUGUGGAGAUCCGAGACAUGUUGAAGGAGCUGAAGGUCAUUCAAGCAUAGCCGCAGGACACAGCUCUUCCUGACAAGGCUACAACAGUUGAAGAACUUAAAAGUCUUGACGAGUCGCUGAACUCGGUGGAGGAAAGACAAAAACUGAUUCAACGCUUGGCAAUGGUAGACAGAGGAACGAGUAUGGAAACCAAUGUCAAAUAGGUCAUGGACAAGUUGAUGACGCAAGAAGUCCAGGCGGAGUUCAACUUAUGUGGAAGGGGACCUACAAAGAAGCUAGCUUUAUAUAAUGCUGUUUUAUAUGCACAGUUUAUAGUCAUUAUUUGCACUGUUUAAAGAAUUCUAAAGAGUAAAUUUGUGACCUACAUUUUUGUGUGCUCAAGCUUUUUUUUUUUCCUUGACUUAAAGGUAUAAUAGACGAUGUUUUAA